CCGCCUUGUAAAACGUAUAAUUUAAGGCGCGGAGCUGAAGGCCAGCCAGUGUUUAUCUGACCUCCGUCGGAUGCUGGUCAACAUGGAGGUGCGCGCCUUUUUUCUAUGCUUUCUCGUGUUUUUGUCGAUUGCCAUGUUGACCGCCGCCUCGCCAGCAGUGAUAACGAGAGGGGGUCCCUGCGUGUGUCAUCAAUUUCCUUGUCCCUGUGAGCCCGAUCCUAUCUUUGCUUCAAGCACUUCAGUUCUGCGAGAUUCUGCGCCUUUCCCCUAAGAAUGUGGUUAUAGGCGCUGGGAAUUCGUGAAGACCGGGAUUUUUUUUUUUUUUUUUUUUUCGUUUUUCAUUUUUUUCUUAUGGAAACGUUUUUGUUAUUCUGUUUUUGUUUGUGUGUGUGUUUCUUCUUCUUUUUUGUUUUGUAAUUGAACAUUCUAUAAGAUCAGAAAGUUCGCGAAGACUUGACGUUUCAUGAAAAAGUAGGAAAUCUUUGAAAGAGAAAACAAAAUCUUGUGAAAUAGAACAUUCUUAGAAACGGGACAUUUCUUAAUUUUUUAUUUUCCCAUGUAUAACUUCCUCUAGUAACAUUAUUAUCAAUAUUAUUUUCUAUUCCUACUAUUAUCAUUACUUUCAUCCUUAUCCUCGUGCCAUAUUUUUUUCGUGUGUGUGUGCUAUGAACGUACGCAACCUUGAACGUACACAACAUUCUGUCAAUUCCUAACUAGAUAAUUUGUUGUUUAUAUAUGUGGUUUUGUGAAAAUAUAUAUAUUUUACACAAG